AACAAUUUAUUGGUAGUUUUAUAUAAAAAUAAAAUACUUAGUUUACUACCACCACAAGUCAUAUGAAGUUCUUCUACUGUGUACUUUCAGAGUAAUCAGCUGUCAAAGUACC